UAGCUGCUGCUGUGAGGAGAACACGUGUCAGACUGAAGGUUGAACCUCAGCGAGUUUCUCCUGUUGAGUUAAACCUUGUUGUGGAGAUGGAACAUCGGCUCUGGAUGAUUCUUGCUGCUCUGGUCUUUAAGUGUGAUGGAGACGACAGAGUGAUGCAGCCGACCGGAGGCGUCACUGCUGCUGAAGGAGAGACUCUCACACUGGGUUGUACUUUUCAGACCAAUGAUCCAACUCCAACUCUGCUCUGGUACAAACAACAAGUCAACGAUUUCCCAAAGCUUCUCCUGCGACGCUUCUCAACACAAGCAGAUAAUCCAGCAGAAAGACAGAGGGACAGAAGAACGGAUGCUGCUGUCAACCAGACCUCAUUUCCUCUGAAGAUCCAGAAGCUGCAGCUGUCAGACUCUGCUGUGUACUACUGUGCUCUGCAGCCCACAGCGACAGGAAACUACACAACUCUGUACAAAAACCUGUGGAGCAAAGACAAUACUCCUCAUCAUCCACCAGAGGGAGUCAGACAACACCAGUUGUGAUAAUGAGGUAUUUUU